GGCCUGAUAGUUCAGUGGUAGAAUUCUUGCUUUGGGAGUAUCAUUACUACAAAGAUGUAAGAGGUCUCCGGUUCGAUCCCGGAUUAGGCCC